rnacentral:rRNA from 1 species
UACGUAGGGUCCGAGCGUUGUCCGGAAUUAUUGGGCGUAAAGGGCUCGUAGGCGGUUUGUCGCGUCGGGAGUGAAAACACCGGGCUUAACUCGGUGCUUGCUUUCGAUACGGGCAGACUAGAGGUAUGCAGGGGAGAACGGAAUUCCUGGUGUAGCGGUGAAAUGCGUAGAUAUCAGGAGGAACACCGGUGGCGAAGGCGGCUGCUGGGCCAGUUCUGACGCUGAGGAGCGAAAGCGGUGGGGAGCGAACAGG